rnacentral:rRNA from 1 species
AUUGAACGCUGGCGGCAGGCCUAACACAUGCAAGUCGAACGAGUGGCGGACGGGUGAGUAAUGUCUGGGAAACUGCCUGAUGGAGGGGGAUAACUACUGGAAACGGUAGCUAAUACCGCAUCCCAUCGGAUGUGCCCAGAUGGGAUUAGCUUGUAGGUGGGGUAACGGCUCACCUAGGCGGCGAUCCCUAGCUGGUCUGAGAGGAUGACCAGCCAGACUGGAACUGAGACACGGUCCAGCCUCCGACGGGAGGCAGCAGUGGGGAAUAUUGCACAAUGGGCGCAAGCCUGAUGCAGCCAUGCCGCGUGUAUGAAGAAGGGCGUCGGGUUGUAAAGUACUUUCAGCGGGGAGGCGUUACCCGCAGAAGAAGCACGGGCUAACUCCGUGCCAGCCGCCGCGGUAAUUC